rnacentral:rRNA from 1 species
UACAGAGGUCCCAAGCGUUGUUCGGAUUCACUGGGCGUAAAGGGUGCGUAGGUGGUCAGGUAAGUCUGAUGUGAAAGCUCUGGGCUCAACCCAGAAAUGGCAUUGGAUACUAUCUGGCUAGAGGAAUGGAGGGGGGACUGGAAUACUUGGUGUAGCAGUGAAAUGCGUAGAUAUCAAGUGGAACACCAGUGGCGAAGGCGAGUCCCUGGACAUUUCCUGACACUGAGGCACGAAAGCUAGGGGAGCAAAACAGG